GGUUACACUUAUAAUGCGAUAAAAAAAAUUCGGUAAUUAAUUAAUAAGUAUAUGUGAAUAUUUCUUUAGUUUUAUUGGGUGAAAUUUUUAAGAUUGAAGUAUAUUUAUGUUAAGUUUAUGAGGUUAAUAAGUUUAGGUCUUAGACUAGGAUUAGAUACCCUAUUAUUCUAAAUGUAAACUUAUGGGUUACUUGGCUAGUAGUAGUUAUGUUCUUGAAAAUUAAAGAAGUUGGCGGUAUUUUAGUCUAUUCAGAGGAACCUGUCCUAUAAUUGAUGGUCCACGAAUUUUUUUACUUAUUUUAUUAGUUUGCAUAUCGCCGUAGAUUGAAUAUUUUUAAAAAAUGAGAAUGUUCAAUAAUCUUUUAAAGAAAGAAUUCAGGUCAAGGUGUAGUUUAUAAAUAAGAAGAGAUGGGUUACAAUAAAUGUAUUUAUGCGGAUUGAUAUUUGAAAUUAUAUUAUGAAGACGGAUUUGAGGGUAAUUUUAUUGAAAUUAAUAAGAUGAUUUAAGCUCUAAAAUAUGUACAUA
rnacentral:rRNA from 1 species